GACGCCAUGAUGAUUUCCAGUAUUAGCACUUUGCUCACUGAAUUAGAGAUACUCUUCUCGUCUUCGCACGGCAUGAGCACGUCAUUUGAAUCGAACCCCUCACAGUUUCCGUCUUUUGAGCCUACGCUCCAUUCAUCACCACAACUGGGACUGUAUCUGCGUUUCUCUUAGAACUAGAAGCUGUUCGCCUCAAAGCUUUGCUUGGGAUUUAUAUCAGCGGCGUGGAUCAGCCUUUUUUCUGCUAGCCCUUUCAGCAGUCUCGCCAGUUUGGUACACACACUACGUAGAUAAGAACGAGACGCCAUGAUUCAUAUGGUGUUAUACAAGAUCCACUCAACUAACGUCGUGGCAUUGAUGCCGAUACUCAGUGCCUCAUGCGAUCCAGUUUAUUUGAAAUAGACUUUGCUGAUGAAACACGCAUUGAAAAAAAAAA